GGUCAGAGAGAGGGAGACACAGAAUCUGAAACAGGCUCCAGGCUGUCAGCACAGAGCCCGAUGCGGGGCCCGAACUCACAAACCGUGAGAUCAUGACCUGAGCCAAAGUCGGCCGGUUAACCGACUGAGCCACCCAGGCGCCCCAAAUCUGCUCUUUUAAAAAGGGGAGUGGCUGCCUGAAGCAGGUAGCAUUGACUGUAAUGUGAAGAGUCCGCUGGAAGAGAUUAAGGAGGGGCACCUGGGUGGCUCAGUCAGUUAAGGGCCUGACUCUUGAUUUCAGCUCAGGUCAUGAUCUCACAGUUCGUGAGUUUAAGGCCCGCAUCAGGCUUUGCACUGACAGCACGCAGAAAUGGCUUGGAAUUCUCUCUCUCUACUUUCUCUGCCCCCUCCCUGCUUGCAUUUGCAUAUGCACUCUCUCCCUCUCUCUCUCUCUCAAAAUAAAUAAAUAAACUUAAAAAAAUUAAAACAAAAAAGAAAGAGAUUGAGGAAACAGAAAAAUGACACAAAGCAGAAGUAAAUACUCAGAAAGAGUGUGCCUCUGGGGACAUUCAGAGGCGGGGCAAGCUGCCACACACGUCUUGGUUAAGAGCCCACACAAGCUCUGGCGUGUUCCUCACCCUGCACUGGGGGCAGGGCACAGAACAUCUGGUCUACUGGAGGAGCCCCACCACUCAUAAAGCUGUACAUGGGGUCAAGGGACAGGGACUAGGCAACUAUGUGAAAAUGGAUGCUCCCUGCUAAGUGACCUGGAUGGACAGGGGAGGCCUCUAGAACUCAGGGGGUGAUGGUAGCUUGUUCUUGCCUUCAGCUAACUCAGACCUGCAGAAUCAGCUCCCAGCUCAGCUUCUAGUGGGAUAAGAUGAGCCUCCAGUCCCAUUCAGAUUUGUCAUUUCAUCAAGGCCAUCAUCUCUGGGGUGGCUAUCAGGGUCUGCUUUGAUGAACUGACAGGUCAGUUGUGUAGGCUUCUCCUGGGAGGGGAUGGUAUGUGUGUGUGUGUGUGUGUGUGUGAGGGUGGUGGUGACCUGUUGGUCCAGAAUCAUUAGCUUCCUCCCCAGUGUGAACCCUAUGAAGACAUGAGAAUAUCUGAGCGCCGACCUUGCUCCCCGUCUGCCAACGGAAGGAGGGUUUUCUAGGCCCUCCCUGCCAGCACGCAAGACCGUCUUUAUGCCACGCCCCAGAACAGUUUUUUAAGUAUCUAAUUACCCAAAGAAGGCUCUUUCAAGGGGGAAAACAAAUGAACUACUCAAUUCAUACAUUUAAUUCCAUGUUCACCGUAGGUGCAUGGGGAAGGGGAAGUGAUGGCAUGAUCAGCACAGGCCACAGGUUUCCCUGCUACUGGGAGGCUCCGUGCAUCUGGCCUUUACAGCACACGGCUCCCCGUAACCCUUUCAGGCUUUCAGAUCAGAGAACCUGCUGUCAACCUAACAGGCAGUUGGCUACCCAGCCACAUAUGAUGGGCACAGACAGACCUGACAUUUUUUGGCUGCCCACUCUGAUCAGGCAUCUAGGCAAACACUCUUCACAGGAUCAUGUCCUCUGACCGCCUCACACACUCGGUGUCAACGCUCAGUCAUAGACAAGCAGCCGGCUUGACUUAGGGGCUCGGUGAGAGUCUUCUGUUAAUCUGGACAGCGAGGUGAGGAAUCAUUCCCCUACUCUUGUGCGCUUGAAGCAUACGUGCGGCCCCAAACCACUUCAGGACGGUUUGUCUCCUUUCCCCCUGCCUCACACCCCCUGACCCCUGGCCAUCGGAGACUUCAGUUGUUCUUUCUCCCAGUACUCCAGAGGACAGCCAUUUUGCAGGGCGCUUGCCUUCUGGUCCUGCGGUGAUGAGUCCCUUUUUGCUACUUGGAUUCGACAAGCCCAACCUCGGUAACUUUGUACCCAAAGCCAUGAUGUAAUCGCUGCUUUUCUUUCUGGUUUGCUUCUCGAUUGUUCUCAGCUUGGAAUCAUUUGAGAGACGGCAGCUAAUUCAGGCAGAGCACCACCUGAAGGGAAUUCUAUCAGUUUGGCUGGUUUGGGCUUAGCUGCUGUGAGCUAUCACCACCUCCCACUUCUGGAGGUACAGCAAAUGUCUCCAGAGUCUGGGGGAGCUGGGGUCAGGAAGAGCCCCUGCGAGUCUGCACAUCUAUCACCCUGCAGGAUUAACCAUGAACGGGAGGUCCUGCCAUUGGGCACCAGGUGGAAGGCAAACAUGUGGGAAGGUAGAAAAGUUCAAGAGGCAGAGUGCUCUGGCAAGGGGUGCCUGGGUCACUCAGUCAGGAAAGCAUCUAACCCUUGAUUUUGGCUUGGGUCAUGAGUUCAAGCCCUUUGUCCGGCUCCAUGCUGACAGUGCAGAGCCUGCUUGGGAUUCUCUCUCUCUCUCCCUCUCUCUCUCUCUCUCUCCACCCCCCCGUUA